ensembl:lncRNA
GGGGAUGCAUGGCCCAGGAAACGCUUCUGCUGUCAACACCCAGAAACUCCAGUUGGUUUCCCCAAUGUCUGAUUCAAGAAACUGCAGGAUUCUGUGUUCAGAGCCCCCGGGACCAGGAAUAUUAGAGCGAUCACAGCACCGUGGAACUGCUGUGUACAGACUGUGUGCCCUGUCCUCGCUCAAAUUUCCUUUGCAUGAAACCGAAGCCUAUUUCUAUCAAGACACAGGCAUUUUUCCACUGGCUGGGAAACUGGCCCGCUGUAUUUUGUUUUAUAACAAACAAAAGAGGCAACUGUGCUGAAACGUUGCUGAGUAUUUAUCCUUCAGUUCCUGAGAUGGGUGGAAGAUCUCCCUGACAGUAGCAUGGGAUCUUCCUGACCCAGAGAUUGAACCCAUGUCUCCUGCAUUGGCAGGUGGAUUCUUCACCACUCAUACCACCUAGGAAGCCAAGAGGCUGCCUGAGGCUCCAUCAAACAGGCCCUGGAGGGUGUGGCCUCGGGAGACGUGAAACCAGGCAGACGUGAAAUGCGGCCACGUGACAGUGAAGGACGUGAAGAGAUGGACUCACACCCUCGGGGCCACCUGGCUCCUGAGGGGAUCCAAUGUCAAGUGUGAAAGUGAAUUUCAUUGUCUUCUCUGCAACAUAAAACUUACCUCCCCUCUGGUUACUAUUUUCCCAGUCACCUGUGUUAGAAACCUGGAAACAGGUUCAGAUGCAGCAGCAGCAGGCACCCAGCACCAUCGCCCCAGCCCCCCACACACACAUACAGUGGUCCUACAGGGUCACCUGAGUCCUUCUCUCCUCACGUCCAUCACCGUGGCUCAGGAGAAGGUAUUUCCAGCUUGGAAAGAGCCGGCAGGUUGGAGUCCCGGGCUCCUGAAAUGUUCUCCUGACACCUCCCCAUAUAAAUUUUUCAUCCUGGUCAUCAACAGCUACAAAUUGUUCAUCCAGUCAAUUAACAAACAAUGUUUCAGAUGCACAGCAAAGGAACUCAGCCAUACAUAUACAUGUAUCCAUUCUCCCCCAAACCCCUCCUCCCAUCCAGGCUGACACAUAACAUUGAGCAGGGUUCCCUGUGCUGUACAGUAGGACCUUAUUUGCUAUCCAUGUUAAAUACAGCAGUGUGUGCGUGUUCAUCCCAAACUCCCUAACUCUCUCCUCUCCCUAUUCUUCCCCACUGGCA